rnacentral:lncRNA from 1 species
CCGUCAUCAAGCUUCUGAAGCUUGCGCCGAAUAUCGGGGUGGAUUGGGAGAUGAACCGAAGGUUUAAGAUAGUGUUUCCUGCUGAGGGUUUGAAGGGAGAAGGGGGGUUGUGUUAACAGGCAGUGGAGGAUAGAUAGGGGCGUAAGGUGGCGGGAUGGGUUUACAAGCCUCAGGAGAGGGCAGUUGUGGACGAGAAUAGGUACAAGCAAUACUAGAAUUGUCCUGAGGGGGGAUGGUGUAGGAAAAGAAGUGGAUACAGCUGACUGGGAAGAUGGCGGCUGAGAAGACAAUGAGGAGGCUUUGGCGGUUAAAGAAGACAGUUGAGAGGAAAAGGGUCUUGCUGUGCCGCUCAGGCUUGAGUACGCUGGUGUGAUCUCAGCUCACUGCAGCCUUGACCUCUGGGUUCAAGUGAUCCUCCCAUCUUGGCCUCCCAAUGUGCUGGAAUUACAGGCAGGAGACACUGAUUUACAAUCUUCUAAUAAGAGUCUUUAUCUUAAAGAUAUUUGUUUCCUGUGUUUGAGAAUUAAAAUGCUG